GUGGGAUAACCUGCCGAAAGGCAGACUAAUACCGCAUAGUCUUCGAUGACGGCAUCAGAUUUGAAGUAAAGAUUUAUCGGUAAUGGAUGGGGAUGCGUCUGAUUAGCUUGUUGGCGGGGUAACGGCCCACCAAGGCUACGAUCAGUAGGGGUUCUGAGAGGAAGGUCCCCCACAUUGGAACUGAGACACGGUCCAA
rnacentral:rRNA from 1 species